GACAGGCGUAGUCGAUGGAUGACGGGUUGAUAUUCCCGUACCGGCGAAGCACCGACCAUGCUGACGCGCGGGUGCUAACCCACGCCCCUGCUGCCACGACAAGCCGCGGUCGUCUCCUUCGGGGGGUGGUCGUGGUUGUGGCGGCGGGUGGUCUGGGGGUCCUCCGUGCUGGUAGGCAAGCGUGUUAACAGGGGUGACGCACAGUGGUAGCCUCGCGGGCCUGAUGGCUUGGCCCGUUCAAGCGCGCGGCCCGGUCCCCAGGCAAAUCCGGGGGCCUGCCCCGCCGCCCCCUUGCGGGGGUGGUGGGGUGUGGGUGAGGCGUGAUGGUGACCCCGCAGCUGGCGGGGGAUAGCAGGGUGAUCCUGGGGUGCCGAGAAAAGCCUCGACGUGAUGGUGUCAGCCGCCCGUACCCUAAACCGACACAGGUGGUCCGGCAGAGUAUGCCUAGGCGAGCGAGUGAACCGUGGUGAAGGAACUCGGCAAAAUGCCCCCGUAACUUCGGGAGAAGGGGGGCCCGAACCCUGAAACGGCUGGCCCGUUAGGGGGGUGGGCCGCAGAGAGCAGGGGGGAGCGACUGUUUACUAAAAACACAGGUCCGUGCGAAGCCGUAAGGCGAUGUAUACGGACUGACGCCUGCCCGGUGCUGGAAGGUUAAGAGGAACCAUCAACCCUCGGGUGAAGUGGUGAAUUUAAGCCCCAGUAAACGGCGGUGGUAACUAUAACCAUCCUAAGGUAGCGAAAUUCCUUGUCGGGUAAGUUCCGACCUGCACGAAUGGCGUAACGACUUCCCCGCUGUCUCCACCACGGGCUCGGCGAAAUUGCAGUACGAGUAAAGAUGCUCGUUACGCGCAGAAGGACGGAAAGACCCCGGGACCUUCACUACAGCUUGGUAUUGGCGUCCGCCAUGGUUUGUGCAGGAUAGGUGGGAGACGUUGAGGCCGUCGCGUCAGCGGCGGCGGAGUCGUUGUUGAGAUACCACUCUGGCUGUGGCGUGCGCCUGAACCUGGGCCCGUGAUCCGGGUCAGGGACAGUGCCUGGUGGGUAGUUUAACUGGGGCGGUUGCCUCCUAAAAGGUAACGGAGGCGCUCAAAGGUUCCCUCAGCCUGGUCGGCAACCAGGUGGCGAGUGCAAGUGCACAAGGGAGCUUGACUGCGAGACCGACGGGUCGAGCAGGUGCGAAAGCAGGAACUAGUGAUCCGGCGAUCCCGUGUGGAUGGGUCGUCGCUCAACGGAUAAAAGGUACCCCGGGGAUAACAGGCUGAUCCUGCC
rnacentral:rRNA from 1 species